GGGAAACUUAUUACAAAGUGAACAUUUCAACUAAACAAUCACAUUAAUUUGAUCUUCUGUCACCUUGCAUAGCAAAAGUCUUUUGUAAUUUCACAUCAUGGGAACUAAUCUAUUACAUGAAAGCAAAGCGAAUCAGAAUUUUAUUGAAAACCAAAGGAAUUAGAUCACUUUUACACAACAGUGAUUCAAAUUUAUAGAGGACUACCUGGUUGUAUAGGAAUCAACUUAGAAAUGCCAAAUGAAGGCUAGAUAAGGAAUGGUUAGAGUACAUCAAAAAUAAAAACAGCAUAUUCGGCAACCAGCAACAGUGAUUUCGAAAUUAAAUCCUUCUCUUAGAACCCAGCGAGUGAGGAGUAAACAAUCCCAAGCAAGAAUACCUUUGAAAUCCUAAUUCUCCUCUUCUUUGUAGAGCUUUUGAUUUUCAUAUCUCUUUUGAGAGUUUUUGAAUUUUUUUUUUUUUUGGAAAGUUUGUUUUCGGGAUGAUGACGAUUGCUCCUCCGUCCCUUCAGAUGUGUGUGUAUAUUCUUUUAGAAAAAAGGGUGUGGGUAUGAGAGAGUGAAUAAGAAAAAGAAAGAGUCGGCUAGUUGUUUUUUAGGGAGGGGGUCUCAUCUAGCGUUCUAGUGAAGGGAAGAAGAAGGAGCCGCCAUGGGUGUUCUAUUGCUGAGAGCUUUUUAGAGGAUGGGACGGCUGCUGCUCGUUUCUUCAAGAGGGGGGGGUCUGUUCCUUUUUUUUUAGGUUUUGGGGAAUGUGGAGUGUUUUAAUGAAGAGGUAGGUAGGUUGGGCCAGGCGGGUAGGUUGAGCCAGGCGGGUCGGGCAGGUGAUGUUUUGGACCGGGUUGCUGGGCUGGGGCGAAAUUGUGAGGUAAAUGGGCUGCUGAUAAGCUUUUGGCCCAGUUGAGAUAAAGCUUUUAAACAAAACCUUUCUCUUUUCUUUUAUUUCUUUUUCUUGAUUUUAUUUGAUUUUAAAUCCUAACCAAAUUAAUUAAAACCUAAAUUAAGUCCUAAAUCAAAUCUAAUUUGUGUUGAAAUUAUUUUUGACUUUUUAGGAGUAAUUUCCUAUGUGGGGCAAAAAUUAGGUGUUCACAGCUGCCCUUCUUUGCUCGGAAAUAUGAAGAGUUUUCGGGCAAAGAUAAAGUGAGCAAUCCUGAACAAUAUUUGCCUGUUUGAUACUCCAUGGGAAGCAUUUUAAAAAAGUUGACCGAACCUUGCUUCAGAGGUUACCUACAUAUCCUUGGCUAUAAAGGAAUCAGGUCAGUGUAGUUCUGAAAGCUUUGGUAGAUGAGACUAUCAGGAAGCUGUGAUUUCACUGUUGUUGCUGCUGUUUACUGCUUGCUGAGCUCCUUAUUACACCAAAGUCAAAAUAAAAAAGACUAACUAAGACUAUCAGCUAUGAGUUACAAGAUUCCUAUUAUGAGUCUUUUGAAGCUUGAUCUUGAUCUUGGCUAGUUCUUCACGCAGACUCUGAUCCGAAUCUUGAUGCUUGCUAGCUGCAGGUGCUACUUCAUUCUUCUUCAGCUUUUCGGGUCAAAACGGGACAUGCAAAGCUUGUGACUUCGGUCAUGUCUUGAGCAAUCCACAUCUUUUCUCUGCUUUUGCACUUUGAAUUCACUUCUUUUCCUUUUUUUUUUAUCUAUUAUGGAUUGAGACUUCUUUUUGUUCAUCUCGAACCCUGUGCCUCGAGGUAUAACCUGCUCAGGCACUAAAACAAACAAACAAACAAACGAAAUAUUUUUGCCCCAGUUUUCACUAGGAAAGUUUUGUGAGUUAUUUGUAACAAAACUCUAUACUACUUCAUUAUUGAAAGCUAUAAAAGUUCGGGAAUGGUGUACCCGGAGAAAAUAGAGACUAGGGAGUGGAGACCCUAUGUCUAAAAUGAAAGUAAUCAGGGAGUGGAAACACUAUCUUGGAAAAGCGACUAGGGAGUGGAGACCCUAUGUCUAAAAUAUCAUCAACUAGAGAGUGGAGACCCUAUGUUGGAAAAGCGACUAGGGAGUGGAGACCCUAUGACUAAAAUAUCAUCAACUAUGGUCUGGAGACCCCUAUGUUGGAAAAGNNNNNNNNNNNNNNNNNNNNNNNNNNNNNNNNNNNNNNNNNNNNNNNNNNNNNNNNNNNNNNNNNNNNNNNNNNNNNNNNNNNNNNNNNNNNNNNNNNNNNNNNNNNNNNNNNNNNNNNNNNNNNNNNNNNNNNNNNNNNNNNNNNNNNNNNNNNNNNNNNNNNNNNNNNNNNNNNNNNNNNNNNNNNNNNNNNNNNNNNNNNNNNNNNNNNNNNNNNNNNNNNUAAAAUCAACUAGGGAGUGGAGAUCCUAUGUCUAAAAUAUCAUCGACUAGGGAGUGGAGACUCUAUGUUGGAAAAUGCAGAUAGGGAUUGGAGACCCUAUACUACCAUAAUUUAGAAUUUUCUUUCUUUUUUUUCCUUUUAUUAAGAAAAUGAGUAAAGUGCGGGAAAGAAUUUAGAGAAGACUUCUCUUUUUGGAGUUGUUGUUGCUGCAGAGCUAUUUCAGUCUCCGCGUGAUUUUCUUUUUGGUUGCACCUGCUUCUUGCAAGGUUGCUUUGGAUUACACCUGUUUCCUGUAGUUCAAACAAAGAACAAUUUGUCAGUUUGAAACGGUGGUUGGUUUUGCGGCCUUGAGUGCUUCAGUCACUUAAUCUCGGCCUGUCUUCUUUGAUGGUACUUUCAACUGCAACUGGUUGUUCCCUGAACACCGAUAUCAUUUCAGGCCCCGGAGAACCCUUGGCUUUUCUAAAACUUUACCAUGAUGGUUGGUCGUGUGGGACUUAACCUUUUUCAGCUCCAUUUUUCCUUUGUAGGCUUUUCACUUCUUUCCUCUAAAUUUAACUUCAGAGCGUUGGGGAACCUUUGGCUUUUCAAACUUUGCCAAGAUGGUUAGCCAUAUGGGACUUGACCGUUUAAACUUUAUUUUGCCUUUGUGGGCAUUUGACUUUGCUUUUCUUAUUUUAAGAGAGUUUGACUUCGAGGCAUCGACCAUCAUGGCCAGUCGGAGUCGACUUGAUGCCUUUGUCGAGGCUGGGUGCCUUUUUGCAUAUUGCCUUGUAUCAAACGAGAACCCUGUAAAUCAAGUCUUGCCAUCUCUUCUUUGCCUUAGUUUUGGAAUAGAGUUAGACCGAAAGGGAUUCAAAGAAAAAUGAACAAUGAAAUGGACAAUGAAUUUAGACAAAAGGUAUACCUUUCGGGGAAAAGACAAAAGGACUUAUUUGGUACAUGCGGACUUCAAUGAACAUGACAUGCCUUUUGGACUGGAUGUCUGAUCUGUGUAAACCGUACGACUCUCAGAAAUUCAUCACAACUUUUUCCUUGAAACUGAGAGACCUUGCCUAGGAUUGUGUCGGUGCCAGUGACUGUGAGGAUCCUAUUUUCGAUCAGUGGCGCCCUUUGCAGGUUUUCAUCAGCUGGCCUCUCUCAUUUCUCUUCUCACCAUCGCCUUAUAGUGCUCUUUGCGAGUUUUCACUAAUAAGACUCUCUCAUUUUCAAUUUCUCUGCUUACCGUCGCCUUACGGUGCCCGUGAGGGUUUUCACAAAUAAGACUCUCUCAUUUUAUUUCUCUCAUUUCAUUGCAUCGGAUCCAAGUAACUGUAUCCUCCCAUUUUGAAUCUCUUUACCGAUUGAUCGGAAGGAUUUGAACAGGAUUUGGGGGUAAAAAGCAUUUGGAUUGAAUUACAACUUUGGAACCUUUUAGGCGAGACCAUCAUCGAACCAUUAUAACAUCUGCCCCAGUUUCACUUUUUAGGGAAUUUGGAUUUUUGUUUUGGUGUGACUAAACCCCAGAGAGAGGUUGUCUACGUAUCCUUUCGGAAUCAAGUCAAACAUAGUUCAAGGAACUUUUGUUUUUUAUUUCCUUUGUUUUCUUUCUUUUCAUUCAUUUUUCAUAUCAUUUCUUUUUUAAAUAAGAACUUCCAGGUUCCAAAGAGGGUAAUCAAAGAAAAAGGAGCCGACACAAAGGGUUUGCAAGGGUUGGUACUGUAUGGGUAGCGAGAAUGAAAGCCUUCGUCAUCCCAAUCAGAGAUCAUUAAAACUGCGUAAAAGGGUCAAAUAUAAUACCUUUUGACCACAUCUGCAUUGACAGCCGUUUCGGGAUCAUUUCCUUCGAUGUCUCCCAAAUACAGCACUCCUUUCGGCAACAGUUUUCUUAUAAUGUACGGACCUUUCCAAUUUGGAUAAAAUUUUCUUUUGCUUCCUCAUGAUGCGGGAGAAUACAUCUCAGAACGAGUUGCUCUACCUCGAAUUACCUAGGCCGCACGUUCUUGUUGUAGGCACGGGCCAUUCUUUGUUGGUACAACUGCCCGUGGCAAACUGCGGCCAUCCGCUUUUCAUCAAUGAUGGUUAAUUGUUCCAACCGGGUCUUGACCCAUUCAUCAUCCUCGAUCUCGGCUUCAACAAUGAUUCAAAAAGAGGAAAUUUCAACUGCUGCAGGUAUUACGGCUUCAAUACCGUAAACCAAUAAAUAAGGCAUUGCCCCAACUGAGGUACGCACGGUGGUGCGGUAUCCCAAUAAUGCAAAAGGCAGUUUUUCAUGCCACUGUCUAGAACUUUGAAUCAUUUUCCGGAGGAUCUUCUUGAUGUUCUUGUUUGCAGCUUCAACUGCGCCAUUAGCUUUGGGCCGACAAGGGGUAAAGUUACGAUGCGUAAUCUUAAAUUGUUCGCAUACCUCCCUCAUCAAGUGGUUGUUCAGAUUUACAGCAUUGUCGGUAAUGAUAGUUUUAGGAAUACCAAAAUGAUAAAUAAUGUUGGAAUGCACGAAGUCCACCACCGCUUUCUUGGUAACGGCUUUGAAAGUGAUUGCUUCAACCCACUUUGUGAAAUAAUCAAUGGCAAACAAGAUGAAUUUGUGCCCAUUUGAAGCUUUCAGCUCGAUUGGCCCAAUGACAUCCAUACCCCAAGCAACGAACGGUCAAGGUGUUAACAUAGGAUGCAACUCUGAAGGCAGUGCAUGAAUUAGGUCACCAUGUAUCUGACACUGAUGGCACUUCCGGAUGAAACGGAAGCAAUCCUUUUCCAUGGUCAUCCAAUAAUAACCUGCCCGCAGGAUUUUCUUUGCAAGAACAUAUCCGUUCAUGUGAGGCCCACAUACUCCCGAAUGCACUUCGUUCAUGAUCUUUUCAGCCUCUCGGGCAUCUACGCACCUCAAAAGAUUCAGAUCUGGAGUUCUUUUGUACAAGACUUCCCCGCUCAAAAUGAAACCGCUGGCAAGCCUUCUGAUAGUUCUCUUUUGAUCUCCAUUGGCCUGCUCGGGAUAUUCCUUUGUUGUCAAAAAUCUUUUAAUAUCAUGAUACCAUGGCCGACCAUCUGGUUCUAUUUCAAUUGCAUUACAAUAACCAUGCCUUUCUCGAAUUUGGAUUUCCAGCGGAUCAAUAUGGACAUUGCCCGGAUACGGCAGCAUUGAGGCCAAAGUAGCUAGUGCAUCAGCUAACUCAUUGUGGAAUCGAGGAAUAUACCUGAACUCGACAGACUUGAACCGUUUGCUAAGAUCUUCCACAUAUUGCAUGUAUGGGAAAAGCUUGAUGUCUCGAGUUUCCCAUUCACCUUGGGCUUGCCGAAUGAUCAAAUCAGAAUCUCCCAUGAUUAACAAUUCUUUCACAUCGAGAUCGACUGCCAUAUUCAUGCCUAUAAUGCAGGCUUCAUAUUCAGCGGUGUUGUUUGUACAGAAGAAACGAAGUCGGACUGUGGCCAGAUAGUGCUGACCAGUGGGCGAAAUUAAAAUUGCCCCAAUCCCGACACCCUUUGCAUUUACAGCUCCAUCAAAGAACAUUUUCCAAGCAUUGGAGUCCUCUGGAAUUACUUCAACUGAAUUUACUUCCUCGUCCAGAAAGUAAGUACUCAGGGGUUGGUAUUCAUCAUCAACCGGGUUCUCAGCUAGAUGAUCCGCCAAGGCUUGAGCUUUCAUCAUCGUGCGGGUGACAUAGACAAUGUCGAAUUCAAUGAGCAGGAUUUGCCAUUUUGCUAACCUUCCCGUGGGCAUUGGUUUCUGGAAUAUGAACUUCAGAGGAUCCAUUCUGGUUAUGAGAUAUGUGGUGUAGACCAAAAGAUAAUGUCUGAGCUUUUGGGCGACCCAAGUUAGGGCACAGCAAGUUCUUUCUAACAGAGUGUAUUUGGCUUCAUAACUAGUGAACUUCUUGCUCAAGUAGUAUAUGGCUUGUUCUCUCUUCCCGGUCACAUCAUGUUGCCCCAAGACACAACCGAAGGUAUUUUCCAAGACCAUCAAGUACAAGAACAAAGGUCUUCCUGGCUCAGGUGGAACCAACACUGACGGAUUUGACAGAUAUUCUUUGAUUUUAUCAAAAGCCUCUUGACAUUCAUCCAUCUAUUUGAUCGCCGCAUCUUUCUUCAACAACUUAAAUAUGGGUUCACACAUGGUAGUAAGCUAAGCAAUGAACCUGCUGAUAUAAUUCAAUCUUUCCAGUAGACUCAUGACCUCUUUCUUGGUUCUCGGAGGUGGCAAAUCCCGAAUAGACUUUAUCUUUGUUAGAUCUAACUCGAUACCCCUCCGGCUAACUAUAAACCCCAGAAGUUUCCCAGAUGGAACUCCGAAUGCACAUUUAGUUGGAUUCAAUUUCAAGUCAUACCUACGUAGACGCUCAAAGAACUUCCUCAAAUCUCGCACAUGGUCUUCCUGCGUUCUGAACUUAAUGAUCACAUCAUUCACAUAUACCUCAAUUUCCUGGUGUAUCAUGUCAUGGAAAAUGGCAGUCAUGGCUCUUAUGUAGGUUGCCCCGACAUUUUUCAAACCAAAUGGCAUGACCCUUUAACAGUAAGUGCCCCAAGGUGUGGUGAAAUCCGUCUUUUCUGCAUCUUCUUCAUCCAUCAGAACCUGGUGGUACCCAACAUAACAAUCCACAAAAGACUGUAUCUCAUGUUUGGCACAGUUGUCAACAAUAAUGUGGAUGUUUGGCAAUGGAAAGUUGUCCUUGGGGCUUGCCUUGUUCAAAUCCCGAUAAUCAACGCACACUCGGGUUUUCCCGUCCUUCUUUGGCACUGGGAUCACAUUAGCCGACUAUGUGGUGUAUCGGACCACCCGGAUCACACCAGCUUUCAAUUGUUUAGUGACUUCUUCUUUGAUCUUAUCACUGAUUUCUGUUUUAAACUUUCUUUGCUUUUGUUGGACGGGUGGGUAACCGGGAUAAGUUGGCAAUUUAUGUACCACCAAAUCAACACUCAACCCUGGCAUAUCAUCAUAGGAUCAUGCAAACACAUCUUUGAAUUCAAACAAAAGUUGGAACAAUGCGUCUCUAGUUCGUUCAUCAGCGUGAAUGCUUAUCAUGGUUUCCCGGGCCUCUUCUGGACUGCUCAAAUUAAUUGGCUCGGUUUCAUUUAAGUUUGGCAUAGGCUUAUUCUCAAAUUCUUCCAGUUCUCGAUUUAUUUCUCUAAAAGCCUCAUCUUCGUCAUAUUCCGAUUCUUGAUUCAUUAUUUCACAGUUAGACAGCGUUUUAGGAUUUGGGCAUGAAGUUCGCAAGCAUAUCAUGUUAUUUAAGUCCGCAUUAUUAGAACUGAAAAGAAAAAGAUAAGAAAACUAGAAAAAUCAGAAUAAAGAAAAAGGGGAACAUACAUUGACGAUGAAACAUUGAUUUCAUUGAUUUGAAUUGAAGAUAUGAGCGUUUACAUCAAAAUCAAAAGACAAUAAAGUAAACCAUUCGAGUUACACCCUGGAAUAACGCGUAAUGUAGAAAAGAUGGCAAGACUAGACUACCGGGAUUCCCGCCUGACAGGGAAUGGGGUAGCUUUCCAAUUCUGAAGCAUGGCAUUUGGUCCCAUGUACAGCCCCUCAGCAGUUCUCGUGCCUUCCCCCGGCUGGAUCAUGUGGGAUUCAUACAGCAUUUAUUUCAUGGAUUCACAAAUAUCCUCAAUCUCUUCGGCCGUGAAGGCCUCUUUUUCUUCUUCUUCUUCUACAUAUUUGGGUUUAACAAAUGACUUGGCGAGAUGAGGAACGGGUUGGGGCCGGACCCAUCCAUAUUUCUUGCGCUUAUCAGCCCAUCUUAUAUCGGCAUUUAUAGCUUGGAAACCUACGCCGAAGAACUUCUCAUUGGCGGUCAAAGUGAUGGGAUCUGUGAUGCCUUGCAGAGAUACCCCGAGCCCCUUUUCGGGCUAGUACUCCUGUUUAAUCAUUUCACUGGCGACCAUGACCGAUGCAUUAGAUAAGAAAGGUUGAGGGAACGGGGCCCCUUCUUCGCAUUGGUCGGCGACCACAAUUUCGAAAGCUUGGUAGAUAAUUUGCUCACUUCCUUCUCUGGCUUCGAGACACGGAACUAAAGGGUCCCUGUAAAUGGACUGUUCAUCCUCCCUAUGUACAAUAAUUUCUUGGUUUUCAUACUCAAAUUUGACCAUUUGAUAGAGAGUGGAGGGCACAGCCCCUGCAGCGUGAAUCCAUGGUCUUCCUAGGAGAAAAUUAUAUGAAGUAUCCAUGUCUAGAACCUGGAAAGUCACUUCAAAAUCCACGAGGCCAGUGGUCAAAAUCAAAUCAAUUUCCACUAUUAUGUCUCGCUUGACACCAUCAAAAGCGUGCACACAGACAUUGUUUGGUUGAAUUCUUUCUGUUCCAAUUUCCAUCCUAUGGAGCGUAGAGAGAGGGAAAAUGUCGACCCCGGACCCACCAUCUAACAUGACUCUCUUCACAUAAUAACCUUCAUAUUUGACAGUCAAGUGAAGGGCUUUGUUGUAGGCGCCUCCCUCUGGGGGAAAAUCAUCGCGGCUGAAAGAAAUCCUGUUGACUUCGAAGAAUCGUUCAGCCAUUCUCUCCAAUUGUUCAACUGAAGUUUCAACUGGGACAUAUGCCUCGUUCAAUAUUUUCAAGAGUACCUUCUGAUGCCCAUUCGAGCUCAACAGCAGAGAUAAAAGCGAGACCUAGGAAGGAGUCUUCCGGAGUUGGUCAGCUAUGGCAUAUUCUGAAGUUUUCAUUUUUCGGAAGAACUCUUCUGCUUCUUCAGUGCUCACAGGCUUCUUGGGUGAAAACUGUUUCUCCUUGUUCAAUUUUGAUUUCUUUAACUCUUCCGAAUUGUGGUACCUCCCAGAUAGGUUCAUUUUGUUCACCUCUCCCAUAAUCUCUUUCCCCUUAUAAGUAACCACUGUUUUGUUUUAAUUCCAGGGGACUACAGUGGGGUCUUUCAUAGGGCUCUGUGGUGCGCGGCUGAUAACCACGGGCUCAGUCAGCCUUGGUGGAAUUACCGUCCCCCGCGCCACAUAAGUCCCUUUUGGCACAUACAACUUUGGCACAUUCAACGCGACUUUCCUUUGCUCGAAUCUUUUGGGAGUGUUCGACAUGACAUGUUCUUUCCUUGGGGCCCUAGGAACAUAGAGAAUUGCGUCGUUAGCAGGUGCUGCUCCAGUUUUUGUUUCUACAACUUGAGGAAUUGAAGUGAUUUUCUUCUCAUUUCUGGCUUGUUUCGCUGCCGCUUUGGGUCUUGCCUCUGAAUCGACAAUGGCGAUGAUGGCUUUCAACGCUGGAUCAAACUCUUUAUCAUCACAAAUCAUUCUAAUGACCAGCCCGUUGUUGUGAGCCGGUAAUGGAUUGUUAGUCACAUUGGGGACUUCCUCGUCCCUCAGCACCACUCAUUUUUGUUCUAUCAAAUUCUCAACUCCUCUCUUGAGAGUCCAACAAUCCUCUAUAUCAUGACCCUCUGCCCCCGAAUGAUAGGCACACCUGGUACCGGGCCGGUAUAAUGGAGAUUCCAGAUUUUGCCGGUUUGGAGGCACAGGUUGCAAUAGACCCAUCUGGAUUAAUUUUGGAACCAGGAUAGAGUAGGACUCACCAAUAGGGGUAAAGUCGUUUUUCCUAUGAGGCUCACGGGGACGUGUAUUAUGUUGGUAAUUGUUUUGUGGUGGACGGGGGUUAUAUGGAUCUUGGUGAGGAUGGUUAUUUCUGUGAGGUGGAGCUCAGUUUUGGUUGUAGUGCUGCUGUGGUCGUGUAUAGAGUUGGGCAUUCAUCACCGCAUAGGAAGGCAGUGCCACGGCAUAUGCUGCAUCUUGAUGGGGGUAGUAGUGUUGUGGGGUUCUGGGAGGCAGGUAAGACCGUAAGAAUGAUCAUGGGAUCGACAGGGGCCUCUCGAACCUGAAGCCAUCAUGGCUCCUUCUUCCCUCUUUUUUCGAUUUGCUAGACCUCCCGAGUCGUUCUGGAUGGCUUGGGAGGUGGCCUUAAAAGCAUAUUGACUUAUGAUUCGGCCAGUUUUCAGGCCAUUUUCUAUCAUUUCUCCGAUUUUUAAGGCCUCUGCAAAAGGUUUGCCCAUGCAGACAUCAUGUUCUGAAAGUAAUCGGCCUCUUAGGCCUAUAAGAAAACAUUGACCAUUUUUGUCUCAUCCAUAGGCAGUUUCACUCUGGCUGCUUGCUCACGUCACUUGAUAGCAUAUUCACGGAAACUUUCUGCGAUUUUCUUCUUGAAAUUGGUCAAGGAAUUCCUAUCUGGAGCUAUAUCAACAUUGUAUUGAAAUUGCCUGACGAAAUCUCAGGCCAAGUCGUCCCAUAUAUGCCAAUGGGAGAUGUCCUGGUCCAUGUACCAUUAUGACACAAUUCCCGUCAAGCUCUCCCCAAAAUAAGCCAUCAAUAAUUCUUCUUUUCCACCAGCACCCCUCAGCUGGUUACAGUAUCGUUUCAGAUGAGCGAUCGGGUCUCAGUUCCCAUCGUACUUUUCAAUUUUUGGCAUCUUAAAGCCAGCGGGCAAGUGAACAUGGGGAAACAUGCACAGAUCGGAGUACGAGACACUCUUUUGGCCACUCAAGCCUAGCAUGUUCUUCAGACUUUGUUUAAGGCUUUUCAUCUUCCGAGCCAUUUCCUCUUGCUCGGGGUUUCUCACUGUUAUUUCCUGUUCCAUUGGAGACUUAUAUUGCGGGUGCAGAGGGUAAGAGUUUGGGGUAACAUGAGCUAUGUCUAGCUGAAAUUGUGGGUCUUGAAAAGUGAAAGCUGAAGGCUCGAAGCAUGGCCUAGGCACUGUUAGUUGUGCCAUAGUAGAGACUGGCGGUGCGGUGAAUAAUGUAGAAGGUACCCCCGAAAACGGUGCCUAGGGGCGAACCUUAGAAGGCAUACCGGUGAAAUUGGCUGAUAUAGUGGGGUACCCAAACGGGAUGAAUGGGUUGGUUACGGGGAUGGGGACGUUGGAGAUUCAACUCGUCCUGGGAAGUAGUUCAGGAAAUCCGGGGAUUGUACUGGGAAAUUCUUUGCCAUUAGACCAGGCGUCCCACAUUUCAAACAUGCGGAUGCGCAACCUCCUAUUUUCUUUAGCGGCUGCGAACUCUGACUAUGGAAUAGCCGAUACCGGACUAUCAUCAGGUUCAAUAAUUGGUAGAUGACUUUCGGAGGCCAUAGGAACACUGCCUUUAGAUCUUGUGAAGUAAGGAUGGAAAUCCAGAUUACCAACAAAACCAACCACCUGAACAAAACCUAGCUAAUUUGCACACCCAAUAACCUUGUUAGUUUGAGACAUUUUAACAGAUAAGGAAUCGCAAAUUGGGGAUGCAAUGCACCUGAACAGUUAAACGUUUCUAAAUGUUUUUUGCAACGGCUGUGUGUUUCAUCCCGGCUUUGCUUUUCUCGAAUUUCAAAUCCUGAUUUCUUUCCCUUCUAUUUUUGUUGUUUUGUUUUUGCUCUUUUAUUUUUCACUCUUUUCUUUCUUUUUUCACUCAAUUUUUCUCUUUUUCUUUUCCCUUCUUUUUCUUUUUCGGUUUAUUUUUCACUCAAAUUGCCUAUGGCUAUGAUCGAAUCUGAUGGGGAUUGCUUACGUAUCAUGACGCCACAUGAAUCAGACCAUUACGUAGUUCAGGAAGAUCGGGAAUAGACUGACCCAUUUUUCUUUUUCUUUUUUUUUAUAAAGACUUUUAAAUAUUCUUUUUUUAUUGUUUUUUUUGUUUUUUUAUGGAAUUUAAAAAAAUAAAAAGAAAGAAUUCUAAAGAAUGAAGAAAAUAUUUUGGAUUUUGAUUUGAAAAAUUUUUUUCUUUUUUUUUUAUAGAAUGAAAGACUUCGGAAAAGAAGGAAAAUAUUUUUGGAUUUAGUUUUUUUUUUUUGAUUUUCUAAGGAAAGAAUUCUAAAGAGGGAAUUAAGGAAAGGGAAAAUAUUUUUGAAUUUUUUGAAAAUUGAGGCCGGAACCGAUGAGGUUUGCCUAUGUAUCUCACAUUCGAUGAGAAUCAGACCCGCAUAGCUCGAUCAGUUUUGACGCAACAGGAAAUUGUGACUUAUUUUGAAAUGACUUUUUCUUUCUCUACGUUUUUUUUUCAAAAAUUUGGCUGAGUUUCAGGAUUUUUCAAAUACCUACUUCUCAAUCUUGGUUUUUUUUCGAUUUUCUUUCCCUAUUCUAGAAGCCAAUCAACAUGCAGGCUGAAACAAACAAAUGCGCAAGUAGCACGUAAGAUGCAUCAGGAUGGUCUUUUAAUUUGGGUACACCUGUCAUAGAUGGACCCAACCCCUGUGUUGAGUCCUCAAAGUCAAAUGCACGUGAUGCAAACAAACGUUCCUACUAGGGAUCCGGCAUGAGGCUAUGUCAUUCUAAGUUUAAAUCCUGGGUGUAUUGUUCUAGACCUGGCUUACCCGAGCGGACAACUCGAGCCGAGGGGGAGCAGCGUACCAGGAAUACAGAAGCUUCAUCAGCUUUGCAACUUGUCCGAUCCUCAUUCUAAAAUUAGCAUAUGACCCUAACAUAAAAUAAGCCACGCGAAGCACACGCUUCCCAGAAGAUUUAGAAGACUCAGAGAGAAGAAAGGUUUUGUAACAGUUUAUAUAUAGUUCACGACAAUAUCAAAGCGGUAAAAAGCGGCAAUUAGCACAUUAGGCUCAAACAAGUAAUAUCAUGCAAUCACAAUUAGCCAGGUACAUAAGUUAUUCUAAGCUAGAAUUCUGAACCCUGAACCAAAGAUUCUGGGUUCGUGUCCCCAGCAGAGUCGCCAGAGCUGUCACACCUCCUUUUUCCUGAAGGAUACGGGAGUUUUUCCAAUUAAAGUGACAUUAAUCGAAAUGAGAUUAUUUAUUUAUUCAGAGUCGCCACUUGGAAUAAUUUAUGGUGUCCCAAGUAACCAGUGUAUUUUAAAUCCCAAAUCGAGGAAAUUAACUAUAUUUUAACGGUCCGCGAACACAGAAGAUCGGGUAAGAAAUUCUGUUAACUCGGGAGAAAGUGUGAGGCACCCCCGCGUUCCGUGCUUUUAGCACGGUCGCUCAACUAUUAAUAAUUGGCAUAAUUAUCUAAUUUAUUACAUGCUUAAAACCUAUUGUGUAUUUUUAACUUUUAACCGCUUUUAAUUAUUUAUGAAACUUAUUUGAACAAGUCGCGAUGUCGCACGCUCAUUUGUUUUGUACAUAUUACGAAUCGCGUCACGUGAAACGCACCCGCGACUUACAACAUAUUUAUCAUUAUUAUUUGAAGUUAUGGUCAAGUCGCGUGAAACACGCACUCGAGUUGGGGAUUAUGUAUCAUAACUAUGCCAGGAAAACCGUACCCAUAGUCACGAUGAUUUAUUUAUUAAUCGCGCCUGAAGCACACUACGAUAUUCAAAGUUGUUUAAUUCUCUAAGGUUUGAGGUACAUUUCAACAUGAGCUUUGGAAUUAGGCCCGCGCAAGCUACAGUAGUGCUAAGACUCUAAUUGAAUUAAUUUGAGGAGGUGUGAGGAUAGCAACUCGAAUUAUAAUCUAAAGUUGCUAACAGAUUUCUAAUAUUGCCAACAGAUUUCAAAGUGUAUUACCAGUGCUGCAUUAGUUGUUUCAUUUCAACUUUUUCCUUUUCAGUUAUUCAAAAUGUAUGGGCUAAGUCCUUAUUACCAUGGUGAUAAAGGUAAUUGUAACCUUACUAAUGAACAGUGCAAACAGAGAAAUGGGAAACUUAUUACGAAGUGAACAUUUCAACUAAACAAUCACAUUAAUUUGAUCUUCUGUCACCUUGCAUAGCAAAAGUCUUUUGUAAUUUCACAUCAUGGGAACUAAUCUAUUACAUGAAAGCAAAGCGAAUCAGAAUUUUAUUGAAAACCAAAGGAAUUAGAUCACUUUUACACAACAGUGAUUCAAAUUCAUAGAGGAGUACCUGGUUGUAUAGGAAUCAACUUAGAAAUGCCAAAUGAAGGCUAGAUAAGGAAUGGUUGGAAUUCAUCAAAAACAGAAACAACGGAUUCGGCAACCAGCAACAGUGAUUUCGAAAUUAAAUCCUUCUCUUAGAACCCAGCGAGUGAGGAGCAAACAAUCCUAGGCAAGAAUACCUUUGAAAUCCUAAUUCUCCUCUUCUUUUUAGAGCUUUUGAUUUUCAGAUCUCUUUUGAGAGUUUUUGAAGAUUUUUUUUUUUUUGAAAGUUUGUUUUUGGAAUGUUGACGAUUGCUCCUCCGUCCUUUCAGAUGUGCGUGUAUAUUCUAUUAGAAAAAAUGGUGUGUGUAUGAGAGAGUGAAGAAGAAGAAAGAGUCGGCUAGUUUUUUUUAUUAGGGAGGGGGUCUCGUCUAGCGUUCUAGCGAAGGGAAGAAGAAGGAGCCGCCAUGGGUGUGCUGUUGCUGAGAGCUUUUUAGAGGGUGGGACGGUUGUUGUUCGUUUCUUCAAGAGGGGGGGUAUGUUCCUUUUUUUU
rnacentral:lncRNA from 1 species